UCAAACUUGGUCAUUUAGAGGAAGUAAAAGUCGUAACAAGGUUUCCGUAGGUGAACCUGCGGAAGGAUCAUUACCGAGUUAGGGUCUUUGGCCCGACCUCCAAUCCUGUGAUUAACGACUAUGUUGCUUUGGCGGGCCCGCCCUGAUAGGCCGCCGGGGGUUUCCUUGGCCAGUGCCCGCCAGUAGCCUUUUAAAUUCUAUAACUGUGUUGUCUGAUAAAUUUUAAUUGUUAAAACUUUCAACAACGGAUCUCUUGGUUCUGGCAUCGAUGAAGAACGCAGC
rnacentral:misc_RNA from 1 species